UGGGGAAUAUUGGGCAAUGGACGCAAGUCUGACCCAGCAACGCCGCGUGAAGGAAGAAGGCUUUCGGGUUGUAAACUUCUUUGACAGGGGAAGAGCAGAAGACGGUACCCUGAAAACAAGCCACGGCUAACUACGUGCCAGCAGCCGCGGUAAUACGUAGGUGGCAAGCGUUGUCCGGAUUUACUGGGUGUAAAGGGCGUGUAGCCGGGUGUGUAAGUCAGAUGUGAAAUCUGGAGGCUCAACCUCCAAACUGCAUUUGAAACUGCGCAUCUUGAGUAUCGGAGAGGUAAUCGGAAUUCCUUGUGUAGCGGUGAAA
rnacentral:rRNA from 1 species